rnacentral:lncRNA from 1 species
GUUUUGGAGUCCUAUAGUAUGUUUAUGAUACUGGAAUCAUAGGCAAAAUGUUUUUCAAUAAAUUUUUUCAAACUUCUGUUUUCGGCCAAGCAUGGUGGCUCACGUCUGUAAUUCCAGCACUUUGGGAGGCCGAGAUGGGUGGAUCACUUGAAGUCAGGAGUUCAAGACCAGCCUGGUCAAUAUGGCGAAACCCCCGUCUCUACUAAAAAUACAAGAAUUAGCCAGGUAUGGGGGGUGCACGCCUGUAAUCCCAGCUACUUGGUAGGCUAAGGCAGGAUAAUCCCUUGAACCCUAGAGGCAGAAGCUGCAGUGAGCCCAGAUCGUGCCACUGCACUCCAGCCUGGGCAACAGAGUGAGACUCCAUCCCAAAAAAAGAAAAAAUCUCAUGUUUUCAUGUGAAGUUUGUUCCAUGUGAAGUUUAUUUUUCUUCAAUCAGUUUCUCUCUUUCCUUCUCUUUCUGUCCUUCCUUGCCUGUUUCAUGCGAGCAUCUUACCUAGAGCGUCUGUGAUGGUCCUGUAGGCUUCCAAGGCGAUCGGGCAGUGUCAGUCUUCAGCCACUAAGCUGAGAAGAUCUGGGAAGGAGUCAGAGAGCCUUGGGCCAGAGUUCCAGGGGCUCUGGAAGUGGCUGCCAGCAGGCAAGAAGAACCUCUCAGGUGGUUACACAUCCUCCUGCUCUCCUUUCCAAGCUAGCUGCUGCUGAAGAAGAACUAGAGGCAAAGCUGAGUGCCCUGGUGGAGGGGAGGACAGCUGCUUGCACUCAGAAGCCUGCACAGAUACAGAGAGGUCAGCCACCAUGGGAGUAGGGAUGAGAAAUUCUGUCCUGCCAAAACCCCCACCAACCCAAAGACAAAAGGAAAAGUUUGGCUGCCACGAGGAAGGACAGAUAUGCUGAGAAAUUCCAUCCCCAAGACCCAGGAGCAAAAAACUUGCCUGAGACAGAGACUAGCCCUGAAGAAAUGGAAUACCAUGCCUCUGUCAGAGGCAGGUGAACCAGAGCAACUCCAUCUUGAAUAGGAACUGGGUAAAAUGAGGCUGAGACCUACUGGGUGCAUUCUCAGAUGGUUAAGGCAUUCUAAGUCACAGGAUGAAAUAGAAGGUCGGCACAAGAUACAGGUCAUAAAGACCUUGCUGAUGAAACAGGUUUUGUAGCAGGACAAGCCGCAGACACAACCCCUCAGACACUGAGUUAAAGAAGAAAGGGCUUUAUUCAGCCAGGAGCUUCAGCAAGACUCACGUCUCCAACAACCGAGCUCUCUGAGUCAGCAAUUCCUGUCCCUUUUAAGAGCUCACAAUUCUAAGCGGGUCUGCAUGAGAGGGUCGUGAUUGAUUGAGCAAGCAGAGGGUACGUGACUGGGGGCUGCAUGCACCGGUAAUUAGAAUGGAACAGGACAGGGAUUUUCACAGUGCUUUUCUAUACAAUAGCUGUAAUCUAUAGAUAACAUAACCAAUUAGGUCAGGGGUCAAUCUUUAACAACCAGGCCCAGUGUGUGGCACUGGGCUGUCUUUUAGAAAUGAAAUGUGGAUUUCAUUUCUGCCUUUUAGUUUUUACUUCUUCUUUCUUUGGAGGCAGAAAUUGGGCAUAAGACAAUAUGAAGGGUGGUCUCCUCCCUUAGUUUCAGUAAAGAAGCCGGCCAAAACCCACCAAAACCAAGAUGGUGAAGAGAGUGACCUCUGGUCGUCCUCACUGCUACACUCCCACCAGCGCCAUGACAGUUUACAAAUGCCAUGGCAACGUCAGGAAAUUACGCUAUAUGGUCUAAAAAGAGGAGGCAUGAAUAAUCCACCCCUUGUUUAGCAUGUCAUCAAGAAACAACCAUAAAAAUGGUCAACCAGCCACCCUCAGGGCUGCUUUGUCUAUGGAAAGGCCAUUAUUUUAUUUCUUUAUUUUCCUAAUAAACUUG